rnacentral:rRNA from 1 species
AUGCAUUGGUUAAAUUGGCCGGACAUGACUCGCUCCAAACUGCAUGGUGGUAUGGGCUUUCAUGAUAUCGCUACAUUCAAUCUGGCGAUGCUUGGGAAACAAGGAUGGCGUUUAAUGAUGAAACCACAAUCAUUAUUUGCUAGGGUAUUAAAAGGAAAAUAUUACCCGCAUUGCGAUUUUAUGCAAGCUAACAAAGGGAAACAUUCAUCGCAUACUUGGCGAGCAAUUAUUAGUGGGCGA